AUUGAACGCUGGCGGCAUGCUUUACACAUGCAAGUCGAACGGUAACAGGCCGCAAGGUGCUGACGAGUGGCGAACGGGUGAGUAAUGCAUCGGAACGUGCCCAGUCGUGGGGGAUAACUACUCGAAAGAGUAGCUAAUACCGCAUACGAUCUAUGGAUGAAAGCGGGGGACCGUAAGGCCUCGCGCGAUUGGAGCGGCCUAUGUCAGAUUAGGUAGUUGGUGGGGUAAAGGCUCACCAAGCCAACGAUCUGUAGCUGGUCUGAGAGGACAACCAGCCACACUGGGACUGAGACACGGCCCAGACUCCUACGGGAGGCAGCAGUGGGGAAUUUUGGACAAUGGGCGCAAGCCUGAUCCAGCAAUGCCGCGUGCAGGAAGAAGGCCUUCGGGUUGUAAACUGCUUUUGUACGGAACGAAACGGCUCUGGUUAAUACCCGGGGCUAAUGACGGUACCGUAAGAAUAAGCACCGGCUAACUACGUG
rnacentral:rRNA from 1 species